UACGUAGGGGGCAAGCGUUGUCCGGAAUCAUUGGGCGUAAAGAGCGUGUAGGCGGCCCGGUAAGUCCGCUGUGAAAGUCCAGGGCUCAACCCUGGGAUGCCGGUGGAUACUGUCGGGCUCGAGUCCGGAAGAGGAGUGUGGAAUUCCUGGUGUAGCGGUGAAAUGCGCAGAUAUCAGGAGGAACACCAAUGGCGAAGGCAGCACUCUGGGACGUGACUGACGCUGAGAUGCGAAAGCGUGGGGAGCAAACAGG
rnacentral:rRNA from 1 species